UACGUAGGUGGCAAGCGUUGUCCGGAUUUACUGGGCGUAAAGCGUGCGCAGGCGGUUAUGUAAGACAGAUGUGAAAUCCCCGGGCUCAACCUGGGAACUGCAUUUGUGACUGCAUAGCUAGAGUACGGUAGAGGGGGAUGGAAUUCCGCGUGUAGCAGUGAAAUGCGUAGAUAUGCGGAGGAACACCGAUGGCGAAGGCAAUCCCCUGGACCUGUACUGACGCUCAUGCACGAAAGCGUGGGGAGCAAACAGG
rnacentral:rRNA from 1 species